UACGGGGGGGGCAAGCGUUGUUCGGAAUUACUGGGCGUAAAGGGCUCGUAGGCGGCCAACUAAGUCAGACGUGGAAUCCCCAGGCUCAACCUGGGAACUGCGUCUGAUACUGGAUGGCUUGAAUUCGGGAGAGGGAUGCAGAAUUCCAGGUGUAGCGGUGAAAUGCGUAGAUAUCUGGAGGAAUACCGGUGGCGAAGGCGGGUCUCUGGGCCGAUACUGACGCUGAGGAGCGAAAGCGUGGGGAGCGAACAGG
rnacentral:rRNA from 1 species